UGGAUAGCUUCUUAAUUCACUCUGGUAUUUUAUCCUUAUUUUGCCAAAUCUUACGGGUUUUGUAUUAGCAACUGUGGUCAACAAGCAUGGUUGUACAUGGAGAAGAAGUGCAAUAGGCCUCCAUUCACUGAAGUGAGAAAGGCAAAGAAUAUUGGCAUCAAGUACUUGCGAAACAAGCUUUAGUUAUCAAAAUGGAGAAAAUAGCUUUUCAAGUUAUUGAGAUGUACUAUCAAAGUUUGAAGAAUGUCCAGUAUCUCAGAAACAUGAUGAAGGCAGGAUAUCAUAUCCAGUAUAUUCUUCUCUUGGUCUUCCACUAAUGGACCUACAAAGCUAUAUACAAGAAAUCAAAUGCAGAUAUAGGCACCAAUUACAUGAAAUUUCAAGUGGUCUACUACUGGCUACAGCUGGAGGUUGAAUGUCUUUGCAGCAAGUUCAGUAUGUUUCAUUUCAAAUUUGGGCUUUGUCAAAGCAAUAUAGAGGAUGAUCGUACAUUAUUGGUAGACUUCAACUUGGUGGACAAUAAGGAAAUCGACUCCACGUCAAUAACAACUACAGCAUCCGGUCCAUGCCAGGCAGGCAUUUUGAAACGCAAGUAGCGCUCUACACAUUCAACAGGAAGGAGGGAUCGGAAAGUAAAGAAGAAGGCCUUUCAAAACACAUUCUGUAUGCAUGUAUGGGCAAAAUCCUGUUCUUAUACAUGAUAAGGUCUGGUGGUCAGUAAUGCUUGUUUGAAGUCAGAUGUGAAUUGCAAUCUGGAUUCCUUCUAUAUGUUUCCCAUUUUUAACCCAUGAUGCGUUUUACUCAUACAAUUUUAUUUUUCUUUCCCUGUUCAAUUGUUAAUUGCAUGUACAGUUUUGGCAACAUCAUGGCCCAAAUGACUCUACAUAGUUGGAGCUUUGAAGACAUUAUCUUGUAUUAUCAUUGCUUAUCAUCCAUUCAAAUGCAGUUUUUUCUAUUAUCUUUAUUUA
rnacentral:sRNA from 10 species